AUUGAACGCUGGCGGCAGGCUUAACACAUGCAAGUCGAGCGAGCCGCGGACGUGAGCGUAAUGUCUGUGCCUCUGCCUGAGGGAUGGGGUUAACUACUGGAAACUGUUGCCAAUACCGCCUUCCUUCAGCUGUGCCCAGAUGGGUUUAGCGUGUCGGUGGGGUAAUGGCUCACCUAGGCGACGAUCCGUAGCUGGUCUGAGAGGAUGAUCAGUCACACUGGAACUGAGACACGGUCCAGACUCCUACGGGAGGCAGCAGUGGGGAAUAUUGGACAAUGGGCGAAAGCCUGAUGCAGCCAUGCCGCGUGUGUGAAGAAGGCCUUCGGGUUGUAAAGCACUUUAAGCUGGGAGGCGUUACUAGCAGAAGAAGCACCGGCUAACUUCGUGCCAGCAGCCGCGGUAAUAC
rnacentral:rRNA from 1 species